rnacentral:rRNA from 2 species
UGGGGAAUAUUGCACAAUGGGCGCAAGCCUGAUGCAGCCAUGCCGCGUGUAUGAAGAAGGCCUUAGGGUUGUAAAGUACUUUCAGCGGGGAGGAAGGUGAUAAAGUUAAUACCUUUAUCAAUUGACGUUACCCGCAGAAGAAGCACCGGCUAACUCCGUG